rnacentral:tRNA from 1 species
GCUUAAUUGGUGUAAUCAAAGCACUGCCCUCUUCCAAAGGGAUGGAGUCUACUGGACAUUAAGUA